UCCAUUAGUCCACCGCUGUCUCUUACUCUAAAGUUAGCACCACUCUUCCUUUGCCCUGAUUGAUUGUACAAUGUGGACUAGUGUUGGACAGGACUAACCUCCAAAACAAACAACUGCCAUCUUUAGGAGUAUAAACCUGCUUCCCUGCAAAAGAUUAAUACAGCUGGGCUUGUUGAUUGAUGGCGUUCCCUCAUUGAAAUGAGCAAAUGGAUCCUCAAAGAAGCUUUACAGCUGAUCCAGUAGUACAAUCAACAAGAGGGAGUGGAAGCGUCUCCCCCUGCUUUGUCUCUUUCCCAUGCCUCUGCCACCUUGGUGCAAUGAUCUAGCUGCUUGGCAGGAAGGUCUUAUUAUUCCUUGAUGGUGGAGAACAAAAUACAAUGGGUCAUAGAGGAGCUCUUGGUUGAGUAGAGAUAAGAUGUAAGUCCUAGCUUGUUUAUAGGUCACAUGAUUGGGAUCUGCAGGAUCUACAGCAGUCAGAAUACCUGAGGUCCAUCCCAUUUUGUCUGCAGAAUAUUGUGCGCAGAGAUGUGGAGUCCCUUGCUCAAAAUCAAAGGGCUCUAAGGCAGCUCAGUUGUAUCAAGUCGAUCCACAGUUUCCAAAAUCAGAGGUAUGGCCUUCAGAAAAGACUGCAAAAUGAUGGAGUGCACCGAAGGCAAAUGGAAGCUAUAAUGGGAAGGCAUUUUGGAGCAGAGUCCAAAUGCAAAUUGGUUGUUACGGAAACUAUUCAGAUCCAUCUGGUGCCUGCAUGUGAUGAAUACUGGAAAUCUGAUCAAUGGAUAUGCGUUUUGGCAAUGGUAAAGGAACGUAAAACAGGACAAGUCAGGCCACCAGAGUGUGGGUGUUGGACACAGCCCUUCUUGCAAAUGUGUAUCCAAUACUCACACCAUGUUGUCAUCAGGGCGGAAGGAAAGCAGACCUUUAGUGUGAAAUAAGGUGUGACUAUCAAAGACAGUAACUACAUUGCAUAACAGAAACAGGAAAUGCCUCUGCUUGCUGACUUCCAGAUUGUCUGUCUAUAUUGAUUUAUUCAUUCAUUCUACCUACAUCUGUUCCUAAGCACAGGCACCUGGGGUAUAUGAGUGUAGAACCACAGUCUAGCUCUGAAGAGGUGCACAGACUUCAAACUCCGUGGGAAUAUUUUCUUUCUGUAACGGCCUUCUUCAAUGAAGGAAACUCAAGAUAAGGACAGUGUACUUGAUAAUAACUAAGAUGUGUCAACUAUUACCCUUGUGUUCGCUGCUUACUCGCCAGCCACUAUUUCAUGUAAUUUGCAUAUAUUGUCUCACCGACGUCUCAUAAAUACGCUAUCAAGUGAGUAUAGCUAUUUAUAUUUCACAAUGGAAAAGAAUAAGGCAGAGAGAGGUUAUAUAUUUUAUUCAACAGCAUUCAGAAUAUGACAAAGUUUGGCUGGGAGACCAAGAAAUCUAGCUUUAGAAGCCCAAUCCUCAACGAUUUUGCCAUGUUUUCCGUCUAAAAGAUAAUGCGAAAUUUUAGACAGAAAAACCACACUAUGUGCCACCCAGGUAGGAUAGGGUGUCACUAGGUAGUGAAACAGGAAUACUUUGCUGGGGAGAAGUCCCUCCCAGAGCUAAAUCCUGAAGAAUUCUGUUUGGAGAACUUGGCAUCAGGGCAGCCAGCAAAUGAGGCAUCUCAUCAGCCCAAGAUGUUGUUUUAUCUCUUUUACAUCUAUUUUAUUUAUUUAUUUAUUUAUUUAUUUAUUUAUUUAUUUAUUUAUUGUGGGUAGAGAGAAAAGCAGUUUUGAAGAAACCAACAGGGUCCCAUGAGAAGGUUUCCUUUCUCUAAAGGCCUUCUUAAAUGAAAUGCAGGACUCACUUGUAAUUGGUUUGAUUACCUUGCAUCUAAAAGAACAUUUUAAUUAAUAGUUAAAAAGAAAAAAGAGGGGCUGGGGAUUUAGCUCAGUGGUAGAGCGCUUACCUAGGAAGCGCAAGGCCCUGGGUUCGGUCCCCAGCUCCGAAAAAAAGAACCAAAAAAAAAAAAAAAAAAAAGAAAAAAGAAAAAAGAAUACAGGCUUAGAAUGCACUUGGGUCAUUUAAAGUCCUGGGUAUCCCAUUGAGAAAACCUUUAAAAUACCGUCAACAUCUCCCAUGCAUUCGUUCUAUGUGGUCUCCGAGAGGAAAUAAAUAUGCCAAGUUUUCAUGAUUGAAAUAUUCAAUCUGAUAACACCAGGGUGGAAAUAACGAGGCCCUGAGAGGAUGUGUUUUAUCAAGUAGAAAAUAAUGCUAAAGGCACUCUUAAGGAUGUAAAAGUGAAUGAGAAAAAAUACUGACUUCCUGCCAAAGACGGGAUUAUUCCAGCUCAGAAGAAGAAAUUAAAUAAAGGACACCUGUUGGCAGUUUAAUGCUAAUAUGAAUUCUGUUUUCAGGAUGGAAAUUAUGCAUCAACAAAAAUAUAAAUAUAAUUUUUUCACAGCUGUGUAAGUGAAAAAAACAUAUGUUGAGAAAUUAGAGAUGA